UGUCAGGUCCUUUUCCCACUUUUUAAUGGAGUUGUUUUUCUCUUGUAAAUUAGGAACAAAUAAUUCUUGUCCUAAAUUGGAAACCAUAAAUCUGAAUAUCUUCAAGCAGGAGUGAAAACAUGGCUAAGUCCUCAUGUCACUGGUACCUGCGGGAGUUUCCCAUCUGGCUGAACCGCUGGAGAGAAGACGGUUCCCUUGAGAACUAGCCAGCACGGUCUGCCAGUUAGAUGGGAAAAGUUGCAGACCUGCUCACUGAUUUGAGUUUGAAUCUUGUGGUAAACUUCUGUGGGGAAGAGGCAUUUCUAGAGGAAAGUUUCGCAUUCAAUAACAAGACACUUCUUGCUGCUGCCAUGUGAAGAAGGACAUGUUUGCUUCCCCUUUCGCCAUGAUUGAGUUUCCUGAGGCCUCCCCACCCAUGCUGAACUGUGAGUCAAUUAAACCUCUUUCCUGUAUAAAUUACCCAGUUUUGGGUAUGUCUUUGUUAGCAGCAUGAGAACGGGCUGAUACACAUGUAUAUCCCUCAAUUUGCUUAUCCAUUCAUCCAUUGAUGGACACUUGAGUAGGUUACACAUUUGAAUUAUUGUGAAUAAUGUUGUGAGUAUUGGGGUACAGAUAUCUCUUUAAGAUCCUACUUUCUGUUCUUUCAUGUAUAGAGAGUUGCUAGAUAUAUGGCAAUCCUUUUUUUAAAUUUCGACGAACCACCAUAGUGUUUUCUACAGUGACUAUGUUGUUUUAUAAUUCUAGCAGCAGUGCACAAGGGUUCCGAUUACUCUAUAUUCUCACCAAAACUUGUUGUUUUCUGGGUUGGUUUUUGUGUUUGUUUUUUGUUUUGGAUCAUGGCCAUUUUAAUGGGUGUGAAACUUUAAUUGUAGUUUUGAUUUGCAUUUUUCCAGUGAUUAAUGAUGUUGAGAAUCUUUUCACAUGCUUAUUGGCCAUUUGUAUAUCUUCUUUGGAGAAAUGUCUUUUUAAGUCCUUUUCCCAUUUUUCAAUCAGGUUGCUUUUGGUUGAAUUAUAAAAAUUCUGUACAUAUUCUAAAUAUUAAUCCCUUAUUAAAUAUGUGAUUUCCAAAUGUUCUCUCCCAUUCUGUGGGGUUGCUUUUUUACUCUGUUGAUAGUGUCUUUUGAUGCACAAAAUUUUAAACUUUCAGUAGCUCCAAUUUGUCUGUUUUUCUCUUUUGUUGUCUGUACCUUUGGUAUUACGUACAAGAAAUCAUUGCCAAUUCCCAGUACCAAAUAUAAUGACCUUUUCUAUUUUGGAAUCUAUUUGCAAUUCUUUCUUAUUCUACCUAUCUUCUAUCCUGUUGGCUUUUAUUUAAUUAUAGCCUAUUGCUUAAUUUUCCUCUCAUGACAUUUUACUCCUAUUUCAUAAAGAAGGUAAUUUCUUGAGCCUUUUUUUUUAAUUGUGAUAAAAUAAACAUAACAAAGUUUACCAUUUUAUUCAGUACUAAGUAAAAUAAGCCAAUGACAAAAGAACAAAUAUGAUAUGAUUCUACUUGGAUGAGGUACUUGUGAAACGGGAGAGUUCCCUGAUUCCCCUCGCAGGACGUGUGACGGGGGUGUGGCUUGCCUUCUUGGUAGUCCCGUAGCUCAUACCCCUAGUAGGAGCAUCCAGACAGGCAGGUGCAGAGGCCCAGGUGAGGGCUUUUGGGCUCAGGCCCCGUGGCAGCAUCUAGGGAUGGGUGUCUGUGACUCCCGAAGCCCAAGUGGGCAUGUGUUACCAAACUCUCUUAGAUUUGCCUUCUCUACCCAGCACUUCCCUGCCCCGCUCCCAUAUCACCUAGAGUAGUGAAACUCAAGGAGACAGAAUGGCUGCCAAGGGUUGGGGAAGAGGGAAAAGGGAGUUAUUGUUUUAUGAGUACAGAGUUUCAGUUGAGAAAGAUGAAAAAAGUUCUAGAGAUGAAUGGUGUUGAUGGUCGCACAAUAAUGUAAAUGUAUCUGAUCUUGAGUGUUUAAAAAAAAAUGCCAACCACUUGGUGGGCACCUGUAACGCCAGCUACUGGGGAGGCUGAGGCAGGAGAAUGGCGUGAACCCGGGAGGCGGAGUUUGCAGUGAGCCAAGAUGGCACCACUGCACUCCAGCCUGGGUGACGGAGUGAGACUCCGUCUCAAAAAAAAAAAAAAAAAAAAAAAAAAAA